GAUGAACGCUGGCGGCGUGCCUAAUACAUGCAAGUUGAGCGCUGAAGGUUGGUACUUGUACCGACUGGAUGAGCAGCGAACGGGUGAGUAACGCGUGGAGAAUCUGCCUUUGAGCGGGGGACAACAUUUGGAAACGAAUGCUAAUACCGGAUAAAAACUUUAAACACAAGUUUUAAGUGUGAAAGAUGCAAUUGCAUCACUCAAAGAUGAUCUCGCGUUGUAUUGGCUAGUUGGUGAGGUAAAGGGUCACCAAAGCGAUGAUACAUAGCCGACCUGAGAAGGUGAUCGGCCACAUUUGGAAUGAGACACGGCCCAAACACCUUCGGGAGGCAGCAGUAGGGGAUCUUCCGCAAUGGGCGAAAGUCUGACCGAGCAACGCCGCGUGAGUGGAUGAGGUUUUCUGAUCGUAAAACUCUGUUGGUAGAGAAGAACGUUGGUGUGAGUGGAAAGUUCAUCAAGUGACGGUAACUACCCAGAAAGGCACGGCUAACUACGUG
rnacentral:rRNA from 1 species